rnacentral:rRNA from 1 species
GAUGAACGCUAGCGACAGGCUUAACACAUGCAAGUCGAGGGGCAGCAUGAUUUGUAGCAAUACAGAUUGAUGGCGACCGGCGCACGGGUGAGUAACGCGUAUGCAACUUACCUAUCAGAGGGGGAUAGCCCGGCGAAAGUCGGAUUAAUACCCCAUAAAACAGGGGUCCCGCAUGGGAAUAUUUGUUAAAGAUUCAUCGCUGAUAGAUAGGCAUGCGUUCCAUUAGGCAGUUGGCGGGGUAACGGCCCAC